AACGAACGCUGGCGGCAUGCCUAACACAUGCAAGUCGAACGAGACCUUCGGGUCUAGUGGCGCACGGGUGCGUAACGCGUGGGAACCUGCCCUUAGGUUCGGAAUAACUCCCCGAAAGGGGUGCUAAUACCGGAUAAUGUCUUCGGACCAAAGAUUUAUCGCCUUUGGAUGGGCCCGCGUUGGAUUAGCUAGUUGGUAGGGUAAAAGCCUACCAAGGCGACGAUCCAUAGCUGGUCUGAGAGGAUGAUCAGCCACACUGGGACUGAGACACGGCCCAGACUCCUACGGGAAGCAGCAGUGGGGAAUAUUGGACAAUGGGCGAAAGCCCGAUCCAGCAAUGCCGCGUGAGUGAUGAAGGCCUUAGGGUUGUAAAGCUCUUUUACCCGGGAUGAUAAUGACAGUACCGGGAGAAUAAGCUCCGGCUAACUCCGUG
rnacentral:rRNA from 1 species